AUACGGGGGAUGCAAGCGUUAUCCGGAAUCAUUGGGCGUAAAGCGCCUGUAGGUUGUUUACAAAGUCUGUUGUUAAAGACUAGGGCUUAACCCUAGAAAAGCGAUGGAAACUUGUAGACUAGAGUAUGGCAGGGGUAGAGGGAAUUUCUAGUGUAGCGGUGAAAUGCGUAGAUAUUAGAAAGAACACCAGUGGCGAAAGCGCUCUACUAGACCAUUACUGACACUCAGAGGCGAAAGCUAGGGUAGCAAAAGGGAUUAGAAACCCUAGUAGUCC
rnacentral:rRNA from 1 species